UCUGCAUUUCCAAAAACAAAUCCACACAUUCAAAUUUAUGAACACAAUCAAUAAUCUUUUUCAAUUCCACAAUUCUAAUUAUCUAAUUAAAUUAAUUGUUUACUACUAUCGUCUAUCGUGCAGCGGGUGUUUUCCAUAAUGACACUCUGACACUACCCCUCGAUUGCGGACCUAACCCCAGCAGGACUCAUUGCUAAAAAUAAUUUACAUAGGGGCAAUUAGGUAAUUUAAUCACAUAUUUCCCCCAACCCAACCCCACCACCAAUGGUGGCGCGUGAGAAUGUUGUAAAGGCAGUAUGCUGCGGUUGGCGGGAUAAUCCACCGCCCAGACAAACAGAUAUGAUGAGUAAAACAUCAAGGAAGAGCGUCUACUACAGUGAAGUUAUGAACCCACGUAAAUUUUGAAUUGAAAUUUCCAGAUCUAGGUGCGCAUUGCACCCACAGUGCAUAACAGAUCUAAACAGAAUGCAAAACAUUGGAAACAGAAAGCAUACCUGCUCGUCAGCUGCUGUAGAAGGAUCCGGAGACGAAGCAUCGGGAGACGAAGCCUCAGGUCCCUCUGGCGCCGGUGGGCUGGCCAUAUCCGGAGUCGGAGCAGCCGCCGGAGACUUGUGCUUCGGCUUCUUGCUCUUGCUCUUGCUGGGAGUCGGAGCAGCCGCCGGAGACUCGUGCUUCGGCUUCUUGCUGGGAGCCGGAGCGGGGACCUCAGGAGUAGUGGGUGGCUCAGCUGCGGGAGCAGGGGCGGCUGCCGGAGGAGAUUUGGCCGGUGGAGAGCUGACCGGAGCCUUAGCCGGUGGGGAGCUCUCAGGAGUCGGCAAUGGGGGUGAAACGGUAGCUGUAGGUGGAGUGGCCACCGGAGUGGGAGCAGCGGCCGUCUUGGGUGGAGCCGACGCCGGAGUGGGAGAAGAUUUGGGGGUGGCAACCGGAGAUGGUGACUUGGGCUUAGGAGCUGCAGCUGGUGUAGUAGCUGAAGGGGUGGCGGCUGGAGUGGCCGGAGAGUUAGUGGGCGCGGAUGAUGGAGCCUGUCCUCCGACGC
rnacentral:lncRNA from 1 species